GCUUCCAGUAAAAGCAGGAGGUGUCAGUCCCUCUCUCACCUACUCUGUUCCUUCCUCCCCUUGCCUCUGCUCCCAGCUGCUUGAUCUUUUCCUCCUUUGCGUCACUCUGAUACUCAACUGAUCACACGAUCCUGAAUUUUCUGAAACAUCUGUUCUCUUCAACCUUCAGCUCCUUGCAGGGUAAAAAUAGGCUUUAUCUUGGAGAAGAGAGAAGACUAAAAAGCCAGAAGAUCCUGUAAUCAGUGGAAGUUUCUAUCAUUGGACCAAAUGAAAAAUAUUAUACAAAGCAGUAUGAGGGCUGCUCUAACUUUAGUCCACUGUCUGACCCCUUGUGCCCUUCUGAAAAUUUCCUGAUCUAUCAUCUUUUCUUCCGACUGUUCUCUUCUCCAUCAGCCUCAAGGAUGGGGAUAUUACAGGAGAGGCUCCGUUGACUCUGUCAAGCUGAGGAUUCCUUUACAUACCUACGUAUACAUGUAGGUAGAUAUGCUGCUACAUAUUGUGAUUUAAAUGAUCAUGUGCUUGAAGGUGAGUG